AUUGAACGCUGGCGGCAUGCCUUACACAUGCAAGUCGAACGGUAACGGGCCUUCGGGUGCCGACGAGUGGCGAACGGGUGAGUAAUGUAUCGGAACGUACCUUUCAGUAGGGGAUAACGUAGCGAAAGUUACGCUAAAACCGCAUAUUCGGUGAGCAGGAAAGCAGGGGAUCGAAAGACCUUGCGCUGAUUGAGCGGCCGAUGUCAGAUUAGCUAGUUGGUGAGGUAAAGGCUCACCAAGGCGACGAUCUGUAGCGGGUCUGAGAGGAUGAUCCGCCACACUGGAACUGAGACACGGCCAGACUCCUACGGGAGGCAGCAGUGGGGAAUUUUGGACAAUGGGGGCAACCCUGAUCCAGCCAUGCCGCGUGAGUGAAGAAGGCCUUCGGGUUGUAAAGCUCUUUCGGUCGGGAAGAAAUCGCAUGGGUUAAUACCCUGUGCGGACGACGGUACCGGCAUAAGAAGCACCGGCUAACUACGUGCCAGCCGCCGUGGUAAUAC
rnacentral:rRNA from 1 species